CCUACGGGAGGCAGCAGUGAGGAAUAUUGGUCAAUGGACGAGAGUCUGAACCAGCCACGUAGCGUGAAGGAUGACUGCCCUCUGGGUUGUAAACUUCUUUUAUAUGGGAAUAAAAUGUUCCACGUGUGGGGUUUUGUAUGUACCAUAUGAGUAAGGCUCGGCUAACUCCGUUCCAGCAGCCGCGGCAAUACGGAGGCUCCGAGCGUUAUCCGGAUUUAUUGGGUUUAAAGUGAGCGUAGGUGGAUUGUUAAGUCAGUUGUGAAAGGUUGGGGCUCAACGGUAAAAUUGCAGUUGAAACUGGCAGUCUUGAGUACAGUAGAGGUGGGCGGAAGUCGUGGUGUAGCGGUGAAAUGCUUAGAUAUCACGAAGAACUCCGAUUGCGAAGGCAGCUCACUGGACUGCAACUGACACUGAGGCUCGAAAGUGUGGGUAUCAAACAGGAGUAGAUACCCCUGUAGUC
rnacentral:rRNA from 1 species